rnacentral:snoRNA from 1 species
CCUGCAUAUUGUUAGAGCUUGGAGUUGAGGCCACUGGCUGGCAGAUGAACUUACAGGUGUAGUGUGCUGUAGGAGGGGGAAAUCUUUUGUUAACAGCGCAAGGAUCUCUGGCUCAGUGAGUGGAAUUUGAUAGUAAUUCUGGCUACAAGC